AGGGUUUGAUCCUGGCUCAGAGUGAUCGCUGGCGGCGUGGAUUAGGCAUGCAAGUCGAGCGAUUUUUGUAUUGCAAGAAGGCUGAUCUUCGGAAAGGCUGACGAGUAAUACGGAAAUAGCGGCAAACGGGUGAGUAACGCGUGGGUAACCUACCGUGAGGAGGAGGACAGCUUCGCGAAAGCGGAGGUAAUACUCCAUGAUAUUUUAAAUCGUCGGAUUUAAAAUUAAAGAUGGCCUCUGUUUACAAGCUAUCGCCUUAUGAGGGGCCCGCGUCCUAUCAGGUAGUUGGCAGGGUAAUGGCCUACCAAGCCUAAGACGGGUAGCUGGCGUUAGAGCGUGACCAGCCACAUCGGGACUGAGACACCGCCCGGACUCCUACGGGAGGCUGCAGUCGAGAAUCUUUCCCAAUGGACGAAAGUCUGAGGAUGCGACGCCGCGUUAGGGAUGAAGUUCUUCGGAUUGUAAACCUUUUUUAUUGAGGAGGAAAAUUUCAAAAGUGAAUAAUUUUUGAAGUGUGACUGUACUCAAUGAAUAAGUCACGGCUAACUCCGUGCCAGCAGCCGCGGUAAUACGGAGGUGGCAAGCGAUACUCGGUUUGACUGGGUGUAAAGGGUCCGCAGGCGGCCAUAUAAGUGAAAGGUGAAAUCUUUCGGCUUAACCGAAAAAUUGCCUUUCAAACUAUAUGGCUUGAGUAUGGAAGAGGAGAGUGGAACUGUCGGUGUAAAGGUGAAAUUUGUGGAUAUCGACAGGAACGCCCGUGGGGAAGCCGGCUCUCUGGUCCAUUUCUGACGCUCAGGGACGAAAGCUAGGGGAGCGAACAGGAUUAGAUACCCCGGUAGUCCUAGCCGUAAACGAUGGGCACUAGGUGCUUGUUCUUUAAGAAUGGGUGCCGUAGCUAACGCAUUAAGUGCCCCACCUGGGGACUACGGCCGCAAGGCUAAAACUCAAAGGAAUUGACGGGGGCCCGCACAAGCGGUGGAACACGUGGUUUAAUUCGAUGCUACGCGAGAAACCUUACCAGGGUUUGACAUGCUGGAAGUAGUUUCCCGAAAGGGUUUCCGAUCGGUAACCAGUCCGAAACCAGCACAGGUGCUGCAUGGCUGUCGUCAGCUCGUGCCGUGAGGUGUUCCCUUAAGUGGGAAAACGAGCGCAACCCUCGCUUUUAGUUGCUAGUUUUGGUUUAAUCCAAAACGCACUCUAGAGGGACUGCCCGCGUUAAGUGGGAGGAAGGUGGGGAUGACGUCAAGUCCGCAUGGCCCUUAUGUCCUGGGCUACACACGUGUUACAAUGUCUGUUACAACGGGAUGCCAAGUCGCAAGACGGAGCAAAUCUCUAAAAAAUAGACUCAGUACGGAUUGCAGGCUGCAAUUCGCCUGCAUGAAGCUGGAAUCGCUAGUAAUGGCGCAUCAGCACGGCGCCGUGAAUACGUUCCCGGGCCUUGUACACACCGCCCGUCAAGCGCUGAAAGUUGGAAGCACCCGAAGCUCCGAUUUAUCGGAUUCACGGUGAAGUUAGUGAUUGGCGCUAAGUCGUAACAAGGUA
rnacentral:rRNA from 1 species